GGUUCAUUCAAAUUUCUGCCCUAUCAACUUUCGACGGCUGGGUCUUGGCCCGCCAUGGUGACAACGGGUAACGGAGGGUUAGGGCUCGACCCCGGAGAAGGAGCCUGAGAAACGGCUACUACAUCCAAGGAAGGCAGCAGGCGCGCAAAUUACCCAAUCCCGACCGGGGAGGUAGUGACAAUAAAUACUGAUACAGGGCUCUUUUGGGUCUUGUAAUUGGAAUGAGUACAAUUUAAAUCCCUUAACGAGGAACAAUUGGAGGGCAAGUCUGGUGCCAGCAGCCGCGGUAAUUCCAGCUCCAAUAGCGUAUAUUAAAGUUGUGAGGUUAAAAAGCUCGUAGUUG
rnacentral:rRNA from 1 species